CUUGUCAGCACAAUGCUAGCCUGUGCUGGGCAGGGCAGCUCCAGCCUGUGUCUGUGGUAUGUUUGUUGUGUAUGUUGUCCUCUGUGUGUUAGCCCUUCCUUGGGUGUCAGCACCCUCUUUUUGCGCUCAAGGGGCAUGACAUGCUUCUCGGGCACCAUCCCUAGGGUCUUGAAUGCCUGUACUCAUUGGCAUAGCGCCAAUCAGGCGCUUCUCUUCUUGCAUAGCAAGCUUACAGCGUGCAUUGUUCCUGCAUCUUGGAAGUUUCUGCUGGGUGCUCUUCUUGCAGCCUCAUCCUAGGCUGUGUCGGGAGCUCUGCUCUAAAGCCAUCCCUUUUCAGGGACUGAGGGUUCUUCUCCACAUCCUUGCGUUCUUAGGUCUUGAAGACUGGCUUCUUGCCACAUCUGUCAUCUCGGUUUUGACCGUAACUUCUUAUAAUGGGCCAUCACAAUCAGUUCUCUUCCGGGGUUGCCAUAGAGCUUCCUCGCCUGGGCGUUGCGCCCUGUAGGUCAUCUUGCUCGGCAACCUCUCUGGUCUGGGAGUCAUUCUUCUCGCUGAGAGUUUUCUCUCAUCUUUGAGUUGUGUGGUUUGUAGCAUUCUCUGUAGCCUUGGUGUGUGUGUGUGUGUUGGGUGUGGAGCUGCUCUGCCUGGGGCUGUCGAGUCAGGGUUAGGUAGAAUAGCAGUAAGAGUGUGUGGUUAGUAUGUUUGCAUGACCAGUCUGGAAUCAUUUUGCUCUCACUCAGCAUCUGGGUGACUUGCUCAGGAAUUUGGUGUUUUGUCAGAUGUGGACAGGCUACAUGCACACCAAAGAGCGGCAGAGGAGGUGAGCAGAGUGCUGUAAGGAGGUGGAGCAUAUUGGUGCUGGAGCUGACUUGGGCCAGAUGAGCAGUGACUAGGGGGCUGAAGUAGCAGUUAUUUUUCAGGUGUUGCAUUGCUGGCUAAGUUAAAGGUAUCCUUUGUGUUUUCCAGGUAGGGCACAAGCUUUAGCGUGGCAACAUGUAAAUGGCAGAGGGGGCGAGGACGAGUGGCUGAGGUGCCGCAGGGAGCCUCGGAGGGGCAAAGCCACAUGCCGAUGAGCGGUCCGAGAAGGAGCCACGUGGCCAUGUUUGGAACUGGAUGCCCGUUUGAGUAUUACCACAAGAAUCACCCAAAUUAAUGAUGAACUUUGAUGAAACUGAGCAAAGCAUAGCAAUGAUGGAACUAGAACUGACUUCAGUGACUGGCACCCAGCAAGUUUCUUGAAAUCAACAACUUUGAGGUCUGACCCUGAGCAUGGACCACACCAGCUAUGCCAGAUGUGAGCUCCAGAAGCAGCGACAACAAUCCAAUGGUGUACAGCAUUGCUUCUGACCUGAGAGACUGUUAGAGCAGAUGGAGCCCCAAGUCAUGGACUAAAUGAACUCAAUGGACAUUUUAGAGGCAUGGCCCGUAGCCUAAGGGAAUGAUAUCUGUGUGUCUAAUUUUUUUUUUAUAUAUGUAAAAGAGAGGGAAAGUGGUGGUGAUUAAUUGGAAGUGUUG